GCACUGGCUUCAGUGGUCCAUAUAGUAAAACUGAAACAACUUCGAGAAAAUCAGCAUGGUCCCUGCACAAGGAUCACACACAGAUCUAUGAAGUGUUGCAUAUUUCU
ensembl:snRNA U6 U6 spliceosomal RNA